rnacentral:lncRNA from 1 species
UUUAUUUUUAAUACGCACGUUCUUAUAAUCUGGGUGGGACAUGUCGAACAAUAUAUCAUGUUUUUUACAAUUUCAAUAAUUUUUUCGAUAUCCAUUUUAUUUGAAACGUUGCACCACUGCUGAGUUCUGAACGCUAACACGAAAAGACAUUUUUCGAUGUUUAACAGUCUUAAGCAGUUCUCUAUCUUUGUUGAUCUUCCUUAAUACUUCUUCAUUAGUUUUUCUUGGUGUCCAGGGUAUCUUCAGCAUCCGUCUAUGAAUCACAUUUUCAAUGCUUUAAUUCUGUUCAUGAUCGAUACUUUUAGAGUCCACACUUCUGGACUAUACAAAAUUACGGACCAUGUAACGUUUAAAAAAACUCCAACAUUAAUUUAAUAUCCCAAUUCCCAAAAAGAAUGUCUAUUUUUUUAAUUUAUUUUGUGAAGUUCAAUAUCAUUAUAAGAUCCCAAGCCGACCCUGUAUACAGCCAUGAAGUAUUGCAGCAACAUUUCAAUGUGUUACAAGAUUCCUGUUUAUUUGAGACGCAAAAACAGAAUUUGUAAGAAGUGUUGACAAAAGUACAGUUCUAAUGCGUAGAUGAACUCUCUAGAACAAAUCUUGAACUGAAAGUUGAGUUCUUGUCAACUAAGCAUCCCUAAGGAUCAAAAUCGCUCGGUACUUCCGUCGUAUUUUCCCCGAUCUGUGGCUUCAGACCGAAGCGCAGAUCAGUCCGGUUUGAUUUCUUCAAGCGUGAAGAUCGCUUGCCGACUCACCCCAAAAGGGCGUGGUGCCUUUUGUUACCCGCCGGUAAAGGGUAUAGUAUGUCGUUCUGGAAGAUCUAGUGUGAGGGCACGAUGUUUUUUUUACCCCGUAGUGAAGUUGGGUGCUCUUACACUGUGUUUGAGUUGUGACGCAGUACUAUACGCCGGCGUGGUAUGAAGUCCCUGUAUCUUGUCCAAGUUCCUGUUUAAAUGAAGUCUUCCGAGUCCCGAUUGAUGUCCUGAUGUAGACAUUUUGAGUUCCAGUCCCGUGAUGUUUAUCCAGUUGAUUGCCCCGAAAUAAAAAGGAAGCCAUGAAGCCCACCUCAGGUCGAUGACCCUGCUUGUUUGUAGAUGAACCCCCUUUCCGUGUAGUUUGUGACGUGUGAUAAAGGAUUUUGUUUAAAUAUGGUAUGAUAUAUUUUUUUAAAUUUUGCAAGGAUCCCAAAUGGAUAAAUAUUUUUGUUGGUAAAGAGUUUUGAAAAAUAAUAGUUGUUUGUGCUUUCAUGAUGCAACUUGUAAAUUAAAAUGACAGUGACUUUGACCUUUGACAGCUGCGUCAAAAUUUUGUUUUGACAUACACUGUCCAACAAGUUCUUUUGUCAUUCUUUUGUUAUGUUAAAUUGAAGAUUUUUUUUGUAAUGUAAAAGAUUUGUAGAUAUUUUGUCCUGUAAAAUCAUUUCCUGUUAAAAGUUUUUUUGUUUGUUUAAAAAAAAAACCACCGUAAAGUUUUAAAUAAAUGUUUGUGAAAGUGUAUCUAUCAUCUCAUUUCUGUAGCCUUUGGAAAAAUUUUAACAGAAAACUAAUGCAACUGUAUGAAAGUUUUAGUUCAGGAGAAAAGAAAGAAUAUGGCAUAGAAGCCAAUAAUAAGGAAAGAUGUUGUCCCAAUGUAACCCCAAAGAGGAAUCAAUGAUGAUUGUCCCCCCGAUUGGUACCCGUAAGUAAGAAAGUAUCCAGUAAGUACCCAUAGGUGAAAUAGAGGAUUUAUUUCAAACGGCGUCCCUUUUUGUUAAAUAGUAGAAAGAUCCUCUAGUCAGAGUAAGUACCCUUAUGUAUUUAGUUAUGGUAGUGUAGUCAUCUUAACACCCCUUCACCCUCCCUAACGAAUCUACGACCUAGCUCCCGCACAACAAAUGAGCUGCCGUCCCGCAACGAGGCUUUAUGUGUCUGCUUCUUCUUCUUUAGCCCCAUUCUUACCCCCCAGUAUCUCUAUAGAUAGUCUUUCCUUGUUCCCAUAUGAGCAGACAUGUAAAAACGCUUCAAAUUGCGCCCAACGUGUGGGGCUUUAAACGCUUCAAAUUGCGCCCAACGUGUGGGGCUUUAAAACGCUUCAAAUGUCGCCCAACGUGUGAGGCCGAUUCAUUUUUCUGCCUCCUUCAGUAUCCAGUAGUUGUCUUGUCCAGUUGAAUGCUUCAAAUGGCCCCGGCAACGUGGGGCCUGUACUUUUUUUGGCCUCCCUCAGACCCCAUUUGCAUGUUCCCACUACCAUAUCCCUUUAGCCUCCUUUCGGUCUCAUUUGUACUACAACUGUUAGGCAGUGCCCGUCUUGGGUAGCCGAUCUCAGUUUGUGGUGCAAGUGUUUCCGAUAACAUGGAAGCUCGACUCGUGUCAUGUUUUGUAUGCCCAUUGUUACAAGUCUAGCUUGUAGACAUGUUCAACUAGUAGUUAGCCUAUCUACUAGUCCCCAAUAUCUUUAGCCACCCCCCACUUAGUGUUACGCUUGUAAUACUUGUAACGUACACCCUGAAGUUUGACCCGAGUAAAUAUCGCCCCAGUCUUCCCAUGUAGUUUAGCCCAGAUUCCUCUUGUCUUGCCCCCAGAAACUGUUUCAUGUCUGUUAGUGCCCCCGAAACUGUUUCAGUCUGUUAGUCCCCAUGAAAGAGCCCAUUUUUGUAGUUUUUGUUGCAAAAGUUAAUAAUUUUUCCAAAGAGGUGUAAGUAAGUACACAUUUUGUUGUGAUGUUGAUUUGGUCGUGCUGUUGAUUGUAUGGGCAUGUACCAUUUCAUACAUCAUAGUGUAUUUAACUUGUAACCCCAUAUGUAUACUGGUAUUGUAUGUAUCGUAGAACAGAAUUGUAUGUUAUUUUAGCGUACUAACUGUAUUGUAUUGAUAUUGUACCCAUGAUGAAAGCAUUGAUUUGAAUUUUUUUGAAAAUAUUGAUGAAAUAUAUAGACAAACAGUUGAAUAAAAAAGUAACGUAAAAUUUUUUUGAAAAUUUUGAUUAAAAGUAACGUUAAAUAUUUUGAAUAUUGAAUCCAAUUAUGAAGUAUAACAGUAUGUUGUAUUUUUUGCAUGUAUUCCUAUAGAUCAACAGUUUUUUUACAGAAUAAUCGUUUUUUGUGAUUUAUUGAUUUGGUCAUUUGAUUAGAUGUGUGAUGUUGUUGGUAUGGUCCGUGUAUGAGCUUAGCCCCGUAUAGUCUGUGUGAGAGUAGUCCCUUGUUUUUCCAGCGAAGCCUAUCUCUGUUGGUGUAUGUCAUGCCACAGGUUAGUUGGAGAAGUCAUCCCAUUGAGAAGUCAUCCCCUUGAGAAGUGGCCCCGUGAAGAAGUGAAGAGGGAAACCGUGGAGAGGCCCCCCACUUCUGUGUUUUUUUCAAGCAGCCAGGAGAAAAGCUGUCACUUUUAGAUUUGAAGAUAGCGUUCUCUGUCGACACUGUUUGAGAAUAACUGUCUUGAAGUGUAGAAGUUAGCCCCUGAAAAAGCCCCCCCCCUUGUCUGUGUUGCCCCUUGUUUUUUUUUUUUUUUUGACUAAUCUAUCUUUGUAGGUGUCAAAAGGAUGCCAGAGGUUAGUUAAAAAGAGCCGUGAAGUAGUAGUUGAAGUCUCCCCCCCAGUGAAGUAGUUGAAGUCCCCCCGUGAAUGAAGUAUGUCUUUUUGUAUCUGACAUGUCACAAGUGUAAUACUCGUGAUGAAGGAAGUGUUGUUCAGCUAUCUGUGAACACUUUCAUUAGUAGUCGGAGCAAGAAAUGUCUUAUCCCGUGUGAGCUCAUAUAGGAACCAAAUUUCAAUAUUGUUUGUGUUUGUAAGCCCCUGAGAAUAUCUAGAAGUCAAAAAGUAUGUUGUUGUCUGUUUGUUUGUCUAUCCCUGUUUUGUCUGGAAGUUUUAGAGCCCAUUGUCUGUUGUCCCGUGUUGUCUAUUAGCCCGUGUUGUCUAUUAGUCCCGUGUUGUCUAUUAGCCCGUGUUGUCUAUUAGCCUGUGUUGUCUAUUGUCCCGUGUUGUCUAUUAGCCCGUGUUGUCUAUUAGCCCGUGUUGUCUAUUAGCCCGUGUUGUCUAUUAGCCCGUGUUGUCUGUUAGCCCGUGUCCGUGCUGGAGUUUGAUUUUUUUUGGCGAAUAGUUAGUUGACCUCUCUUCUCUUUGUUGAUUGAAAGUAGGCCAAGAGCAGAAGCUGUGACAAGGCUGGUGAGGUUAGGAUCUGGCCGCGUUGAGUACAGGUGAAGCUUGCUUUCGGUCGAUAAAUGGAAGCGGUUGUUCGUCAGAACUGUCAUACUUUCCAAUGUCCCUUUGGUCUUCCCCUUGCGUGUUGCUUUCAUCCCCUGUUUUGAAAAAGUAGUCCCCCGUUUUGAAAAAUAAAGUCCACCCCCAGUCUUGAGAAAUGAAAUGCCCCCAGUUUUGAAAAGUAAGUCUAUCCCCAGUUUUGAAAAGUAAAGCCCAACCCCCCUGUCUUGAAAAAUGAAGUCUAUCCCCUGUUUCAAAAAGUGAAGUGUAGCCCUGUUUUGAAAAUGAAGUCUUCCCCCAGUUUAUGAUUUGUAAGUGAGAGAGUUGUCUAGUGAACGUUCAUGAAAGGUUCUUAUGUCCUGGAUUGGACUGUUGAUUGAAAACGUAAUGAUGUAGUGUUCUCUAUAUCAUAUGUUGCGUUCAUUUCCCUUAGUCUUGUUUAAAAAGUUUGAUAUCCUGUUUGAACCCAGUAUACUAGUCUUUUUGGUCUUUUGUUGUUGUCACACAUACCCCCUCCCCCUUGUUAGUCUUGUUUUGAUUUUAGCCCUUGUUGUUGUCAUAUACCCCUUUGUCUAGCCCUGUCUUGUUUGAAUGAGUUGUUGAAGUAAGUUGUUGGUGAGAUUUUGUCUCACUGAGGUGUUUAGACUGGAUUGUCUAAAUCCUCGUUUUGCAGAACCGUUGCCGAAAUGUCCCGUGAAACUCGCUAGGUGUUAGCAGAGUUUGGGCAGAUGUUUAUCUGUCAAACAUCAACUUUUUAGUUUUUGUGAACCGCUCGCGGUUAGGCAACGAGGUGACAAGGCUGUGUCUGCCCUGGUAUGUCACUUGUGUUACUGCUGUGGAUGUCAGCGAGGUCCACACAGGGCACAAGUUUAGUUUCUUUCCCAAGGCACAGAAACUCUUGUCACCUACAGUUCUUUGUAGAGUCAAGAAACAUUUAAGUCUACUCGACUUUAAAGAGUCUGGCGAUUGAUGGCACGCUAGCCCAAUCCCUAACGACUUUUUUGUUUUGUUUAAUCCCCACUAGCCAUUAUCUAAAUAUUUUGAUAUUGUUGUCCUGUCACACCUAAGAUGUCCAUGUUGGAUUUUUUUCUGUUUGUUAUCGAAAACUGGAUAAUCUUAUCCAGGUUUCUCUUUUGCGCGGAGGCUUUGUAACGUUUAAAAAAACUCCAACAUUAAUUUAAUAUCCCAAUUCCCAAAAAGAAUGUCUAUUUUUUUAAUUUAUUUUGUGAAGUUCAAUAUCAUUAUAAGAUCCCAAGCCGACCCUGUAUACAGCCAUGAAGUAUUGCAGCAACAUUUCAAUGUGUUACAAGAUUCCUGUUUAUUUGAGACGCAAAAACAGAAUUUGUAAGAAGUGUUGACAAAAGUACAGUUCUAAUGCGUAGAUGAACUUUCUAGAACAAAUCUUGAACUGAAAGUUGAGUUCUUGUCAACUAAGCAUCCCUAAGGAUCAAAAUCGCUCGGUACUUCCGUCGUAUUUUCCCCGAUCUGUGGCUUCAGACCGAAGCGCAGAUCAGUCCGGUUUGAUUUCUUCAAGCGUGAAGAUCGCUUGCCGACUCACCCCAAAAGGGCGUGGUGCCUUUUGUUACCCGCCGGUAAAGGGUAUAGUAUGUCGUUCUGGAAGAUCUAGUGUGAGGGCACGAUGUUUUUUUUACCCCGUAGUGAAGUUGGGUGCUCUUACACUGUGUUUGAGUUGUGACGCAGUACUAUACGCCGGCGUGGUAUGAAGUCCCUGUAUCUUGUCCAAGUUCCUGUUUAAAUGAAGUCUUCCGAGUCCCGAUUGAUGUCCUGAUGUAGACAUUUUGAGUUCCAGUCCCGUGAUGUUUAUCCAGUUGAUUGCCCCGAAAUAAAAAGGAAGCCAUGAAGCCCACCUCAGGUCGAUGACCCUGCUUGUUUGUAGAUGAACCCCCUUUCCGUGUAGUUUGUGACGUGUGAUAAAGGAUUUUGUUUAAAUAUGACGGCCGCCUAGGGAGUUUGCUACGGAAUGGGGCGAAGAUAGAAUGAUAUUUUAUUUUGUUAUUUUUGAUUUUGAACUGUAUAUUAUAAAUAUCCUGAGUAAAUUUAUUUUACUUUUAA